CCUAAGUGCUCUUGGUGUAGGCUUAAACCUAGAUUUCUUACUAACUACCAGGCUCUCAAAUCCUUACUCAGUUUUACUAGUUUAUAUGAGUGCCAUUCUAUUAUAAAGAGAUAAAAUCAUUGGAAAAGUCAUUUUCCCUAAUUGGAAAAAAUGUCAAAGUGAAGCUAUAUCUUCAUGGCAGCUUGAUACUGAACAUCAUCUCGUUUUUGUUACCUUAACACUCUGAUCAUUCCUGAUCCUUCUGUGAAUAUCUUACUCCAUCAACACUGGAAGGAAGCUGAUGAAAAAUGAUAGGGCUUUACGUCUUUAAAAAAAAGUUGGCACAUGGUUUGCAGGAGGAAGUAAAUUUAGGAGAGCUGUUAGAGCUCUAGUCACAUGGGUGAUACUUUUUCAAGGCCACUGAUGGUGAAAGCUUUGUUGUCCUGUUUCCACCACUGCUGGAAAAUUUUCUCAAUUUCAGAAGACUGCCAAGCCAGCAGCUGCGAGCAAAUGUGUUGACAAGUGGAAUUCUAUGUUGCACACAUCCCCCU
rnacentral:lncRNA from 11 species